rnacentral:lncRNA from 12 species
AUGCACCAGGAGCCCGACGUGGGAUUCGAUCCUGGGUCCUCAGGAUCGGGCCCUGGGCCAAAGGCAGGCGCCAAACCGCUGCGCCACCCAGGGAUCCCACGUUACCUAUUUUUAUUGAAGUUGAGCUUCCUGUCUUGUGUCAAGAUUUUCUCCCAGGAACCUGCGCUGUUGCUGUUAAACUUCCCAGCAAGUUCAAAGGCACUCUCAUCCCCACCAGAUCUGCCGGUUAACUUACAGCUGCUACACGACGUUGAGCAGAGGUUGUGUCUGAGUCUGGAGCUGGUUUACAUUCAUACUGGAAGUCAAACUCAAUAUGGGGUAAGAAUCCAGGUCAACUGAAGUAAACUCUUUGUGAACAAAAUAACCACUGUAUGUCCUCCCUCAAAGCCUACCAGCGCCUGAGUAGUUCCCAUAAAUCCAGGCUGCACUGAAAGGGUUUGCUCAGAGCCUUCCACCAGUAGCUUGCAUCCACAUGCAUCAGAUUCAGCUGUCUCUUAAAUCUGCAAAAUGUUAUCUGUCUCACUGUGCACAAACUACUGUCCCAAACUGUAUUCAAUCCAGAUGGGCGGCUUCGCCACUUCCUGACUUCCCUGCUAUUACAAGAAUGAAUAUUUUGAAACCAGGCAACUAGGAGACGGAGAGCCCAACUGAAUGAGAGGCAUAUAAUAUUUGGGGAAAGCUUUCUAGGGGGUCUCCCAGAAGAUGAGGAUAUUAUGGCCCCCCCUUGACCACGGGAUGGCUGAAUUUUUCAACCUCCCAGCAUGUGCAUCAGAUCACCUUUGCAAGAGGACAUACCCUGGACAUUUCCAUACACAGGGUCAUAUACAAUUCUCAGUGAACCAGUUUGAUCUCUGUGUCUUUCCCUCUCACUCUCAAAAGCAAAUUAGUGUAUUAAUUUGAUAGCACAGAAAUAAGCCAUAUCACAGGAAUAAGCCAUAUCACAGGAAUAAGCCAUAUCACAGGAAUUAACUCUAAUUUUUAAAAAAUAAAAUAAAAUUUAAAAUAAAAUAAAUUUUAAAA